rnacentral:rRNA from 1 species
CCCUUAGAUGUUCUGGGCAGCACGCGCGCUACAAUGGUCUUCGCAAACGGAUGCAUUCUCGAAGGAGAAUGCCAAUCUUGGAAUCUAUGCCUUGGUCGGGACAGUUGCUUGCAAUUUUUCGACUCGAACCAGGAAUUCCUUGUAAUCGUGAUUCAUCACAUCACGAUGAAUACGUCCCUGCCCUUUGUACACACCGCCCGUCGCUCCUACCGAUCGAAGAGUUAGGUGAGGUCUCAGGAUCGUGGCUUAGCACCUUCAUUGGAGCUCUGCCGUGAGAAUUUGCCCAAACCUCAUCAUUUAGAGGAAGGUGAAGUCGUAACA